CUUUGCUAACUUAUCUCAUGCCUGGGGCUCCUACUCUGCUAUCAUGGAAACCAGUCAUUUGCUGGAUGAACCGCUGGGGCGAUUCUGCGGAAUGGCAACAUGAGAGUGAGGGAGGCGGCUGAUCCCUCACCCAACAAUCUACCAGUGGAAGCCACAGUGGACUGCCCUGUUCCCACCCCUGCCAGUGAGGGAUACCCUGGAACUUUAAGCUACCUAUCAACUGGGAAUGAUCUGAGCACACUCCGACAAGAUCAAAGGGACUAGCAAUAGCAUCUAAAAUGGCACUGAAGAUCAACUCCACGAAGCAUGUGAGGCC